rnacentral:rRNA from 1 species
UGCCAGCAGCCGCGGUAAUACGAAGGGGGCUAGCGUUGUUCGGAAUUACUGGGCGUAAAGCGCGCGUAGGUGGCCAAGUCAGUCAGAUGUGAAAGCCCUGGGCUCAACCUGGGAACUGCAUCUGAUACUGCUUAACUUGAGUGCGAUAGAGGAUGGCAGAAUUCCUGGUGUAGUGGUGAAAUACGUAGAUAUCAGGAGGAAUAUCGGAGGCGAAGGCGGCUAUCUGGAUCGACACUGACACUCAGACCCGAAAGCGUGGGGAGCAAACAGGAUUAGAUA